AAGCUCGUAGUUGAAUUUUGGGAUCGAAUUGUUGGUCGUGCUUCGGUACGCACUGGCAUUAUCGGUUCCUACCUUCUGAAGAACCGCGAUGUCAUUAAUUUGGUGUCGUGGGGAAUCAGGACUGUUACUUUGAAAAAAUUAGAGUGUUUAAAGCAGGCUUACGCUUGAAUACAUUAGCAUGGAAUAAUGAAAUAGGACGUUUGAUUCUAUUUUGUUGGUUUCUAGGAUCGACGUAAUGAUUAAUAGGGAUAGUUGGG
rnacentral:rRNA from 1 species